UACGUAGGAUGCAAGCGUUGUCCGGAAUUAUUGGGCGUAAAGAGCGCGCAGGCGGUCUAUCAAGUCAGAUGUGAAAUAUCCAGGCUUAACCUGGAGGAGUCAUUUGAAACUGGUAGACUAGAGUACAGCAGAGGAUAGUGGAAUUCCCGGUGUAGUGGUGAAAUGCGUAGAUAUCGGGAGGAACACCAGUGGCGAAGGCGACUAUCUGGGCUGAAACUGACGCUGAGGCGCGAAGGCUAGGGGAGCAAACAGG
rnacentral:rRNA from 1 species